UUAUAAAUAAAAAGUUGUUAAUAAGAGAUUAAAUGGGAUCAUUAAAUUUAAAAAAUUUGGCGGUAUUUUAAAUAAUUAGAGGAACUUGUUAGUUAAAUGAUAAUCCACGAGUGGAAUGUCCUAAUAGAGUUUUAUAUAUUGUUGUAUGAAAAUUAUUUUAUAAGAAAAAUAAUUGAAAAAUUUAAUUUAAUUUGAAUUCAAAUCAAAAUGUAGGGUUAUUAGGGUUGGAUGAGUUACAGUUUAAUUUAGUAGCGGAAUUAUUUUUUUAAAGAAGGUAAUGAAGAAGGAUUUAAAAGUAAAUUUAAAAAAAUUUUUAAAUUGAAUGAUAAAUUAAAAUAUG
rnacentral:rRNA from 1 species